rnacentral:tRNA from 2 species
AGUCCUCUUCUUGCCAGGUCCUGAGGUGUUUACACAUUGAAUUGCAAAUUCAAAGAAGCAGCUUCAAUUCUGCCCGGACUU